AGCGAACGCUGGCGGCAGGCCUAACACAUGCAAGUCGAACGAACUCUUCGGAGUUAGUGGCGGACGGGGGAGGAACACGUGGGAACGUGCCUGAAGGUUCGGAAUAACUCAGGGAAACAUGUGCUAAUACCGAAUGUGACCUUCGGGGGAAAGAUUUAUCGCCUGUAGAGCGGCCCGGGUCUGAUUAGCUAGUUGGUGAGGUAAAGGCUCACCAAGAGGACGAUCAGUAGCUGGUCUGAGAGGAUGAUCAGCCACAUUGGGACUGAGACACGGCCCAAACUCCUACGGGAGGCAGCAGUGGGGAAUCUUGCGCAAUGGGCGAACGCCUGACGCAGCUACGCCGUGUGAAUGAUGAAGGUCUUAGGAGUGUAAAAUUCUUUCACCGGGGACGAUAAUGACGGUACCCGGGGAAGAAGCCCCGGCUAACUUCGUG
rnacentral:rRNA from 1 species